AACGAACGCUGGCGGCAUGCCUAACACAUGCAAGUCGAACGAAGCCUUCGGGCUUAGUGGCGCACGGGUGCGUAACGCGUGGGAAUCUGCCCUUGGGUUCGGAAUAACAGUUAGAAAUGACUGCUAAUACCGAAUGAUGUCUUCGGACCAAAGAUUUAUCGCCCAAGGAUGAGCCCGCGUCGGAUUAGCUGGUUGGUGAGGUAAAGGCUCACCAAGGCGACGAUCCGUAGCUGGUCUGAGAGGAUGAUCAGCCACACUGGGACUGAGACACGGCCCAGACUCCUACGGGAGGCAGCAGUGGGGAAUAUUGGACAAUGGCGAAAGCCUGAUCCAGCAAUGCCGCGUGAGUGAUGAAGGCCUUAGGGUUGUAAAGCUCUUUUACCCGGGAUGAUAAUGACAGUACCGGGAGAAUAAGCCCCGGCUAACUCCGUGCCAGCAGCCGCGGUAAU
rnacentral:rRNA from 1 species